rnacentral:rRNA from 1 species
GAAGCUACGGCAUCAGUAAUGAUGGGUAGGGGAGCUUCCCAUACGGGUUGAAGCAUGACCGUAAGGACAUGUGGACAGUAUGGGAGUGAGAAUGUUGGCAUGAGUAGCGAGAUGUGGGUGAGAAUCCCACAGGCCGUAAACCCAAGGUUUCCAGGGGAAGGUUCGUCCGCCCUGGGUUAGUCGGGACCUAAGCUGAGGCCGAAAGGCGUAGGUGAUGGACAACAGGUUGAUAUUCCUGUACUACCGAUAACCGUUUGAGAGAAGGGAUGACACAGUAGGAUAAGCUAAGCACACUGUUGGUUAUGUGUGCCCAAGCAUUGAGGCAGUCAAAGUAGGCAAAUCCGCUUUGAUAAUGCUGGGAUGUGAUGGGGAGCGAAAUUUAGUAGCGAAGUAGCUGAUUUCACACUGUCAAGAAAAGUCUCUAUCGAGGUUAAAGGUACCCGUACCGCAAACCGACACAGGUGGGUGAGGAGAGUAUCCUAAGGCCAGCGAGAGAACUGUUGUUAAGGAACUCGGCAAAAUGACCCCGUAACUUAGGGAUAAGGGGUGCCACCAUCAGGUGGCCGCAGAGAAUAGGCCCAAGCGACUGUUUACCAAAAACAUAGGUUUCUGCUAAGUCGCAAGACGAUGUAUAGGAGCUGACGCCUGCCCGGUGCUGGAAGGUUAAGGGGAUCUGUUAGAGCAAUCGAAGCAGUGAACUUAAGCCCCAGUAAACGGCGGCCGUAACUAUAACGGUCCUAAGGUAGCGAAAUUCCUUGUCGGGUAAGUUCCGACCCGCACGAAAGGCGUAACGAUUUGGGCACUGUCUCAACAACAGACUCGGUGAAAUUGUAAUUCCGGUGAAGAUGCCGGAUACCUGCGACAGGACGGAAAGACCCCAUGGAGCUUUACUGUAGCUUGACAUUGGGUUUUGGUACUACAUGUACAGGAUAGGUGGGAGGCUUUGAAACCAGGACGCCAGUUUUGGCGGAGCCAUCCUUGGGAUACCACCCUUGUAGUACUGGGACUCUAACCAUAGGCCAUGAAUCUGGUCUUGGGACACUGUCAGGCGGGCAGUUUGACUGGGGCGGUCGCCUCCCAAAAGGUAACGGAGGCGCUCAAAGGUUCUCUCAGUACGGUCGGAAAUCGUACGUAGAGUGUAAAGGCAAAAGAGAGCUUGAUUGCAAGACAUACAGGUCGAGCAAGGAUGAAAAUCGGACUUAGUGAUCCGGUGGUUCUGCGUGGAAGGGCCAUCGCUCAACGGAUAAAAGCUACCCUGGGGAUAACAGGCUUAUCUCCCCCAAGAGUCCACAUCGACGGGGAGGUUUGGCACCUCGAUGUCGGCUCAUCACAUCCUGGGGCUGUAGUAGGUCCCAAGGGUUGGGCUGUUCGCCCAUUAAAGUGGUACGCGAGCUGGGUUCAGAACGUCGUGAGACAGUUCGGUCCCUAUCCGUCGCAGGCGUAGGAAAUUUGAGAAGACCUGUCCUUAGUACGAGAGGACCGGGAUGGACGUACCUCUGGUGUACCAGUUGUUCUGCCAAGGGCAUGGCUGGGUAGCUAUGUACGGAAUGGAUAAGCGCUGAAAGCAUCUAAGCGCGAAGCCAACUUCAAGAUAAGAUUUCCCACCGCAAGGGUAAGACCCCAGAAAGACUAUCUGGUUGAUAGGUCGAAGGUGUAAGUGCAGCAAUGUAUUUAGCUUAUCGAUACUAAUAGGUCGAGGACUUGACCAA